CCUACGGGAGGCAGCAGUGGGGAAUUUUGCGCAAUGGGGGAAACCCUGACGCAGCAACGCCGCGUGAGUGAUGAAGGCCUUCGGGUCGUAAAGCUCUGUCAGAGGGGAAGAAGUGUAAAGGUGCUAAUACCAUCUUUACUUGACGGUACCCUCAAAGGAAGCACCGGCUAAUUCCGUGC
rnacentral:rRNA from 1 species